UACGUAGGGUGCAAGCGUUGUCCGGAAUUAUUGGGCGUAAAGAGCUCGUAGGCGGUCUGUUGCGUCCGCUGUGAAAACCCGGGGCUUAACCCUGGGCUGGCAGUGGAUACGGACAGACUAGAGGUAGGUAGGGGAGAAUGGAAUUCCCGGUGUAGCGGUGAAAUGCGCAGAUAUCGGGAGGAACACCGGUGGCGAAGGCGACUACCUGGCCUGUUCUUGACGCUGAGGCGCGAAAGCUAGGGGAGCAAACGGG
rnacentral:rRNA from 1 species